ensembl:lncRNA
CCCGGCCUCCGCCUUCACCCCAUCCGCCCCGCCGCCGACCUGGCCGGGCCCCGCGCCUCCACCCUCGCCUCCUCCUCCUUCUCCUCCGCCACGCCCCCCCCCUCCCUGCCGGCGAGCCCCCAGGUGCCCCAGCAGGCGCGGCACGCGCCGUCCAAUCAGCUCUCGGUGUCCAGCAGCCACAACUCGUUGGAGGGGGAGGUGCCGGUCUCCGACAUCUACUUUAUUACCGCCGCAGCCUCAUGAGGUUCCUGGUGGAAAGGUCCUGAAGUUCUCCUUUAAUGUAUAAAUGUAUGGCUGGCUAUUCGG